rnacentral:lncRNA from 1 species
CUUCUGGGCCUGGUUUUCCAGUGUUCCCGAUAAACCUAAGGACAAGGGUGCAGGGACAUUAAUGAAACUCUUAUCUUCUGGUCCUGAAUCUUCAACCCAACAGAUGUGCUCUGGAAGUUGUGAAAUACUUGGCUUUUUUCCUAGAAGCUUUCUGUGACCAACCCCUCCUUCUGGUAGUUCUGGGUAGGAGAACACCUAGGUCUUGUGUUAGAUGCUCAUUUCUACUGUUUCCCCAAGAAUCAUGAAAGAAGCACAUUUACAGAAACUCCUGUAGUGGAGAGCUGCUUUCUUCCAGCCAACUCUCUCUCCCAAAUGGAAGGGAGGAAUCUUCCAUAUGACCAAACUGAUGAGUAAAAUCUUCAGGAACAGGCACCUCACAACUAAGCUGCUGACUUUGGCACUUGACUCCAGCUCUAACCAACCACAGUAUAAAGACAUGUACCUGAGCUGCUGCGGUGCAGAGUGGCAGAGGAGCCAUUCACAAAGCUCCAGCCCAGAUAGAAGUUUUCUGAAAUAAAAAUGGUCACACUGAAAAUCAGCUGCUCAACACUGCCAGUAGAAACGAAAAUGUACAGAAGUGUAAACAAGAGAAAAGAAUGGAUGAAAGAAAUCAUUAACAGCCACCCACAUCUAAAGCCUCUGACUCCAUUUGAGGGGGUAAAGAUUUUGUCUUAGGCUUCACGUGGGCAAGAAUUCAUC